AUUGAACGCUGGCGGCAGGCCUAACACAUGCAAGUCGAGCGGAUGAAGGGAGCUUGCUCCUGGAUUCAGCGGCGGACGGGUGAGUAAUGCCUAGGAAUCUGCCUGGCAGUGGGGGAUAACGUCCGGAAACGGGCGCUAAUACCGCAUACGACCUGAGGGAGAAAGUGGGGGAUCUUCGGACCUCACGCUAUCAGAUGAGCCUAGGUCGGAUUAGCUAGUUGGUGGGGUAAAGGCCUACCAAGGAGACGAUCCGUAACUGGUCUGAGAGGAUGAUCAGUCACACUGGAACUGAGACACGGUCCAGACUCCUACGGGAGGCAGCAGUGGGGAAUAUUGGACAGAGGGCGAAAGCCUGGUCCAGCCAUGCCGCGUGUGCGAAGAAGGUCUUCGGAUUGUAAAGCACUUUAAGUGGGGAGGAAGGGCAGUAAGUUAAUACCUUGCUGUUUUGACGUUACCAACAGAAGAAGCACCGGCUAACUUCGUG
rnacentral:rRNA from 1 species